UGGGGAAUCAUGGUCAAUGGGCGAAAGCCUGCACCUGCGACGCCGCGUGAGUGAUGAAGGUCGUAAGAUCGUAAAACUCUUUUCAGGGAUCUUAAAGCCUGUCUGUCAACAACAGGCAGGUCUGACUCUCCCUGGAAGAAGCCCCAGCCAACUACGUGCCAGCAGCUGCGGUAAUACGUAGGGGGCGAGCGUUAUUCGGAAUUACUGGGUGUAAAGGGUAUGUAGGCGGCCCUUCAAGUCGCGUGUCAAAGUCCAGUGCUCAACGCUGGGUGUGCACGCGAUACUGACUGGCUUUAGGACUGGAGAGUUGAGCGGAAUUCCCGGUGUAGUGGUAAAAUACGUAGAGAUCGGGAGGAACACCAGCGGCGCAGGCGGCUCACUAGACAGUGUCUGACGCUAAGAUACGAAAGCGUGGGGAGCAAACA
rnacentral:rRNA from 1 species